AUUGAACGCUGGCGGCAGGCUUAACACAUGCAAGUCGAGCGGAGCGAGGGUGCUUGCACCUUAGCUUAGCGGCGGACGGGUGAGUAAUGCUUAGGAAUCUGCCUAUUAGUGGGGGACAACAUUCCGAAAGGAAUGCUAAUACCGCAUACGCCCUACGGGGGAAAGCAGGGGAUCUUCGGACCUUGCGCUAAUAGAUGAGCCUAAGUCGGAUUAGCUAGUUGGUGGGGUAAGGGCCUACCAAGGCGACGAUCUGUAGCGGGUCUGAGAGGAUGAUCCGCCACACUGGGACUGAGACACGGCCCAGACUCCUACGGGAGGCAGCAGUGGGGAAUAUUGGACAAUGGGCGGAAGCCUGAUCCAGCCAUGCCGCGUGUGUGAAGAAGGUCUUUUGGUUGUAAAGCACUUUAAGCGAGGAGGAGGCUACUUAGAUUAAUACUCUGGGAUAGUGGACGUUACUCGCAGAAUAAGCACCGGCUAACUCUGUGCCAGCAGCCGCGGUAA
rnacentral:rRNA from 1 species